AGCGUACACGGUGGAUGCCCUGGCAGUCAGAGGCGAUGAAGGACGUGCUAAUCUGCGAUAAGCGUCGGUAAGGUGAUAUGAACCGUUAUAACCGGCGAUUUCCGAAUGGGGAAACCCAGUGUGUUUCGACACACUAUCAUUAACUGAAUCCAUAGGUUAAUGAGGCGAACCGGGGGAACUGAAACAUCUAAGUACCCCGAGGAAAAGAAAUCAACCGAGAUUCCCCCAGUAGCGGCGAGCGAACGGGGAGCAGCCCAGAGCCUGAAUCAGUAUGUGUGUUAGUGGAAGCGUCUGGAAAGGCGCGCGAUACAGGGUGACAGCCCCGUACACAAAAAUGCACAUGCUGUGAGCUCGAUGAGUAGGGCGGGACACGUGGUAUCCUGUCUGAAUAUGGGGGGACCAUCCUCCAAGGCUAAAUACUCCUGACUGACCGAUAGUGAACCAGUACCGUGAGGGAAAGGCGAAAAGAACCCCGGCGAGGGGAGUGAAAAAGAACCUGAAACCGUGUACGUACAAGCAGUGGGAGCUCGCUUAGGCGUGUGACUGCGUACCUUUUGUAUAAUGGGUCAGCGACUUAUAUUCUGUAGCAAGGUUAACCGAAUAGGGGAGCCGAAGGGAAACCGAGUCUUAACUGGGCGUUAAGUUGCAGGGUAUAGACCCGAAACCCGGUGAUCUAGCCAUGGGCAGGUUGAAGGUUGGGUAACACUAACUGGAGGACCGAACCGACUAAUGUUGAAAAAUUAGCGGAUGACUUGUGGCUGGGGGUGAAAGGCCAAUCAAACCGGGAGAUAGCUGGUUCUCCCCGAAAGCUAUUUAGGUAGCGCCUCGUGAAUUCAUCUCCGGGGGUAGAGCACUGUUUCGGCAAGGGGGUCAUCCCGACUUACCAACCCGAUGCAAACUGCGAAUACCGGAGAAUGUUAUCACGGGAGACACACGGCGGGUGCUAACGUCCGUCGUGAAGAGGGAAACAACCCAGACCGCCAGCUAAGGUCCCAAAGUCAUGGUUAAGUGGGAAACGAUGUGGGAAGGCCCAGACAGCCAGGAUGUUGGCUUAGAAGCAGCCAUCAUUUAAAGAAAGCGUAAUAGCUCACUGGUCGAGUCGGCCUGCGCGGAAGAUGUAACGGGGCUAAACCAUGCACCGAAGCUGCGGCAGCGACGCUUAUGCGUUGUUGGGUAGGGGAGCGUUCUGUAAGCCUGCGAAGGUGUGCUGUGAGGCAUGCUGGAGGUAUCAGAAGUGCGAAUGCUGACAUAAGUAACGAUAAAGCGGGUGAAAAGCCCGCUCGCCGGAAGACCAAGGGUUCCUGUCCAACGUUAAUCGGGGCAGGGUGAGUCGACCCCUAAGGCGAGGCCGAAAGGCGUAGUCGAUGGGAAACAGGUUAAUAUUCCUGUACUUGGUGUUACUGCGAAGGGGGGACGGAGAAGGCUAUGUUGGCCGGGCGACGGUUGUCCCGGUUUAAGCGUGUAGGCUGGUUUUCCAGGCAAAUCCGGAAAAUCAAGGCUGAGGCGUGAUGACGAGGCACUACGGUGCUGAAGCAACAAAUGCCCUGCUUCCAGGAAAAGCCUCUAAGCAUCAGGUAACAUCAAAUCGUACCCCAAACCGACACAGGUGGUCAGGUAGAGAAUACCAAGGCGCUUGAGAGAACUCGGGUGAAGGAACUAGGCAAAAUGGUGCCGUAACUUCGGGAGAAGGCACGCUGAUAUGUAGGUGAAGUCCCUCGCGGAUGGAGCUGAAAUCAGUCGAAGAUACCAGCUGGCUGCAACUGUUUAUUAAAAACACAGCACUGUGCAAACACGAAAGUGGACGUAUACGGUGUGACGCCUGCCCGGUGCCGGAAGGUUAAUUGAUGGGGUCAGCGCAAGCGAAGCUCUUGAUCGAAGCCCCGGUAAACGGCGGCCGUAACUAUAACGGUCCUAAGGUAGCGAAAUUCCUUGUCGGGUAAGUUCCGACCUGCACGAAUGGCGUAAUGAUGGCCAGGCUGUCUCCACCCGAGACUCAGUGAAAUUGAACUCGCUGUGAAGAUGCAGUGUACCCGCGGCAAGACGGAAAGACCCCGUGAACCUUUACUAUAGCUUGACACUGAACAUUGAGCCUUGAUGUGUAGGAUAGGUGGGAGGCUUUGAAGUGUGGACGCCAGUCUGCAUGGAGCCGACCUUGAAAUACCACCCUUUAAUGUUUGAUGUUCUAACGUUGACCCGUGAUCCGGGUUGCGGACAGUGUCUGGUGGGUAGUUUGACUGGGGCGGUCUCCUCCUAAAGAGUAACGGAGGAGCACGAAGGUUGGCUAAUCCUGGUCGGACAUCAGGAGGUUAGUGCAAUGGCAUAAGCCAGCUUGACUGCGAGCGUGACGGCGCGAGCAGGUGCGAAAGCAGGUCAUAGUGAUCCGGUGGUUCUGAAUGGAAGGGCCAUCGCUCAACGGAUAAAAGGUACUCCGGGGAUAACAGGCUGAUACCGCCCAAGAGUUCAUAUCGACGGCGGUGUUUGGCACCUCGAUGUCGGCUCAUCACAUCCUGGGGCUGAAGUAGGUCCCAAGGGUAUGGCUGUUCGCCAUUUAAAGUGGUACGCGAGCUGGGUUUAGAACGUCGUGAGACAGUUCGGUCCCUAUCUGCCGUGGGCGCUGGAGAACUGAGGGGGGCUGCUCCUAGUACGAGAGGACCGGAGUGGACGCAUCACUGGUGUUCGGGUUGUCAUGCCAAUGGCACUGCCCGGUAGCUAAAUGCGGAAGAGAUAAGUGCUGAAAGCAUCUAAGCACGAAACUUGCCCCGAGAUGAGUUCUCCCUGACUCCUUGA
rnacentral:rRNA from 1 species